AACGAACGCUGGCGGCAUGCCUAACACAUGCAGGUCGAACGAGAUCUUCGGGUCUAGUGGCGCACGGGUGUGUAACGCGUGGGAAUCUGCCCUUUGGUUCGGAAUAACAGUUGGAAACGACUGCUAAUACCGGAUGAUGACGAAAGUCCAAAGAUUUAUCGCCAGAGGAUGAGCCCGCGUAGGAUUAGCUAGUUGGUGUGGUAAAGGCGCACCAAGGCGACGAUCCUUAGCUGGUCUGCGAGGAUGAUCAGCCACACUGGGACUGAGACACGGCCCAGACUCCUACGGGAGGCAGCAGUGGGGAAUAUUGGACAAUGGGCGAAAGCCUGAUCCAGCAAUGCCGCGUGAGUGAUGAAGGCCUUAGGGUUGUAAAGCUCUUUUACCCGGGAUGAUAAUGACAGUACCGGGAGAAUAAGCUCCGGCUAACUCCGUGCCAGCCGCCGCAGUAA
rnacentral:rRNA from 1 species